UACGUAGGGUGCAAGCGUUGUCCGGAAUUACUGGGUGUAAAGCGCGUGUAGGCGGGAGGCCAAGUCUGCUGUGAAAUCGCCCGGCUCAACUGGGCGGGGUCGGUGGAAACUGGUCACCUGGAGGACGGUAGAGGCGAGUGGAAUUCCCGGUGUAGUGGUGAAAUGCGUAGAGAUCGGGAGGAACACCAGUGGCGAAGGCGGCUCGCUGGGCCGGACCUGACGCUGAGACGCGAAGGCGUGGGGAGCGAACGGG
rnacentral:rRNA from 1 species